rnacentral:rRNA from 1 species
CGCGUAGGUGGUUUGUUAAGCGAGAUGUGAAAGCCCCGGGCUUAACCUGGGAACGGCAUUUCGAACUGGCAGGCUAGAGUGUGGUAGAGGGUAGUGGAAUUUCCUGUGUAGCGGUGAAAUGCGUAGAUAUAGGAAGGGACACCAGUGGCGAAGGCGGCUACCUGGACCAACACUGACACUGAGGUGCGAAAGCGUGGGGAGCAAACA